UAUUCUUUUGCAGUUUAACAAGUGGUUCAACCUCUUGUCAGCUUCAGCCUGCCGGGUUGUUUCUCAGUUCCUGUAAUCAUGGUCCUCCUUUAUUGGGCACAUUAGAAGAAAAGUCAAAACCACAUCUGCAGGCCUAGAGCCUGGAAACCAGAGCCUCUGUGAAUCUGUGGCCAGAAGCAGGACUUUGUGGACAUCUGUUAGUGGCUGUUUCCAGCACAGACAGGGCCUGGUACCAAGAGUAACUGCUGAAGUCUCCAGUGCUACAGCAACUGAAGAGCAAAAUUGGGUGCCUGGAGGAAAAGUAGUCUGGUUCAACUGAGCUCUGUCUGAAAAGCAGGUUACCGUGGCUUAAUGAAUUAUCCUGAGUUUGCAGAACAAUGUGUUCCCUUACCUGAAAGGGCCCUGGUUUGCAUGCUGAUACACUGCAUGACUGACGGACUGAUCAUCUUGUUGGUUUGACUUCCCAGAGCUGGAGGAAUCAAGACCAUCCGUGGCUGAUAAGCCAGGAACCACCGACUCGGCUAAGCCACAGAAUCCCAAUGGAUUCCAAUGGAGUCAACAAAUGGAGCUGUCGCUGUAACCUGACACGUAAAGGGGGCGAGAUGCACGACAUGGAGCAGCACCCAGAUCGAUCUAUCUCAUCAUUCACAUGCAGGAAAUCAAUCAGAGAGUGGUGCAAUUCACAUGAAAAUAAGACAUAAUGCAGCAGAGGCCCUGGGUCCCAGGGUGAGACAUGAUACUAAGAUGCAAGGCCCAGCAGAAGACAACUCAAGCUUGGUGGUUCUCCAGUGAAAAAUAUGGAUACGAAGAUGAUCUCACAUCACUUGUGAUUUCUGGCAGAUUUGAUCAAUGCUUGGAGAGUUUGGGCUACUGAUUUAGCUUUUACCUUGGGAAAGUGAAAGAAGGUGCAGGUCUAAAUCACUGCACAAUUGCAUCUGCUGGAUUUCCUGCAAUGGCUCUGAGCUCCUUUGGAGUCCUGGUCUAGGCAGGCAAACAAGGGAAGCGGAGGCCUUUGUGAGCUCUCAUGACGAUGAGCAGAACAGCCAGGGCAUCCGCAUGCACAUGGCUGGUACUUCUCAGACCCUGCAGCCGAGUCCUGUUGCCCCUGCUGUGUUUAGAGAAGGGACUUCCAAGAACCAGGAGGAGGGAAAGGUGCUCUCAGUGCUUCAGCUCCCAGGCUGCCUUUAGUGCAUGUAAUUAGUGAGGAACAAAGGUUGGUAUCUUCCAUAGUCAUGGGCAUUAAUGAAGAAGUCAUCUGCUUAAUGGGGGACAUGCAUGUGAAACUGUUUCAUCUAUGUGGUCGACUGGGUGCUUUUUAUGUAUAUUAACCUGCAAAUGUGUAGUAGGUGGUAAAAUUUAUGAGCGCUAUAACCAUUUUUAUCAAGUGUGCCCUUUAAAAUCAGGGGGUUUUUAUGAGUGUUACAUGCAUAUGAUCGUUAUUGUUCAAUCUCUGCUCACCCUUUGCCUUAGUGGGAGGGAGGGGGAAGAGAAAAUAAGGCCUGAAGAGAAGAUUUAGUUCGUUGAAUAAAAGUUUCAGAUCCGCAGAUUGGCUGGUGUUUAAGGUUGUAUAAUCCAGCGGAGAGGAAUUUGGAGGAGGACGUGGCCAUUCAAUUCUAAAUGCCUGAAUAUAAUGUUAAAAUAAAACACAUAUCAAAUAGGUCAUAGCUUGGAUGGGAAUCUAAUGUCCUUGCCAGAAUCUAACUCAGUGCAGGAAGAAGACACAUGUUGAGAUGCACUGGACUGAUGUUCAGAAGAAGGAAGUUGUAACUGGACCCUUCCAUCUACAUCUUGGUGCUCAUGCAGGGAUCACGUGGGAUGGGAUUCUCACAUAUGUAGGUGGGACACAAAACUUACAGUAGUGCAGGGGGAGGAUAUCCAUGCUCAGUUGCAAGCCUUGGAUCAUUCCUCAUUACCAUCAGUGCGUGGUAUGUUCUCAUGCCUGUUUUCCUCUUUUCAUUCCAAGCUUCCUUUUCCUAUUAUAAAGUCCUCUUUUUCUCCCCUCCUUAAAAAAAAAAAGAAAAAGAAAAGCUGCUGUUAGGAUUAUGUCCUAUUACUUAAAGUGCUUGUUCUGCUCCAUGUACACAUAAAUUUAAUUAUAUUGGCCAUAUGAAAGAUGCAUGAAGGUUCAGUUUUGGGAGGUAUGCCAAAGAUAGCUCCUGAACGUGUGGCUGUUUGAUGUAGGCUUGUGCGUAGUAAUUGAAUUACUGAUCAAGCACUCUAUCAAUGAAAUAAUCUUGGUAAAUUCCGUGUACUUAAGUAACUAUAGCCUCGAGGCUGUGGUAAGUGGAGUAACCUUGUUAUUGAUUUUGUUGUUGAUUAUUCAUAUCUUAUACUUUCAAAUAGGAGCACCCUUUUCUGUGUUCCUAUUAAACGCAGCGGUUCCUGCGUCCUUCAGAAGUGAGAUUUCUCUUCCAAUCACUUGCAAAGGACUUUUGUAACUGCUCAUACGAGGGACUUCUCAGAUGUCCUUCUCAUAGCCCCACUACUGCUCAGCCACAGGGAAUCCUGCUGCAGUGCUGCUCUGCUUUAAUGCUCUCUGCUCCCCCCUCCCUCUCCUGUGGCCCUUGUGGGAUAGAAAAAGUAGGGCAUUCUCUAAUUCUUCUCACUGCUUUCCACACAGAAAGUCCUUGCUCUAAUUCUGUUGUGCUUUUGUAGGAAAGUCAGUUUAUGUCUUCUCCAUCGCUUCUUCCAUCUGUCCUUAUCUGCCCUUAUAUCGUGAGGGAGACUGGAGGUUGCUCUCAGGACCCAUUAACUCCAUGAAGCUGAGUCAUGUAUCGUACGCAGUGGUAAGUUGCUUGAUGGGCCUUCGUUACAGAGCCAGUCUGAGUCCCAAGGUGAGAUCUGAGCACUAAUUUGACACUUCUCUUAAAGCAACGCUGUGUACUUCACCCUUGUCAAUACUAGAUGUGUCUUGUAUUAUGAAUGGCAAUAAUAUAAAUGAUUGAUUAAGGUUAUUCCAAGAAUUUAAUAUAGGCAUCACAUGUGAACUCUUAUGGUAUGGCAUCAGCAAGAAAAGCAGUUUCAAAAGUGGACUCAGAUCUCAUGUCCCAAAAUGCAUGAUUUACGAAACGUACUUUGUUGGUUUGUUUUGGUGUUCUAGAGGCUGAGAAUCUUGAAGAAAAUGUCUGACUACUUGAAAUCAUUCCUUGUUCACUUCGUUAUCCGUAGUGUUGUUGCAAGUUGGAUCUGACGUGCUCCUUGAGCAGCUGUAGUCCCUGGUGGCGUGUUGCAGUAAUUUCUUUAUGUGUUCAGGAGGUGUUCCAGUGAAACUGAACCUCUGCAUCAUGCUCAAGAGGUAAAGCACAGGGACCUGGCUGUGCUAGGGGACAGUAUUGAGAGGCUGGCUCACAGGCAGUCAGUGGGUGGGGAGCUGAGUGACCGCUAUUCAGGUUUCAUGAACUAAAGCUUGCUUGUGAGUGAGAGCUGUGUGAUCACUGAAUUAAAUCCCUUGGUGUCUGGAGUCUCCUGGCAAGAGCUCAGUAGGUCCUGGGCUGUGCAGCCUGGCUUGAGAGGGAGGAGGAAUGUUGGGGGGUUAUGAUGAGACUUGUAAGCAUCGCAGCCCUAUCCAUGGACAAUCUCACUUCACUUUGUGUAUUGUCGUUGUCCUUUCCAACAGCUGCAUCUUUCAAAACUGGAAGAUCAGUAUUUUUCUCUUCUUUUCAUUUUGAGUUUUGAUAUUAUUUUUUUUCAUUUAAGGAAAAAUAAAAUCAAAAUAAGUGAUUAUCUGGCAUUAGUAUGCUUCCACUAACUGCUGCUGUCCACGUUUCUAAGAACUGUAAUGCAAAUCCCCUGCUAGCAAGAAGAAUUCGUUGUUCCCCACUGUUUGUUCUUUGAUCCGUAUUAGGGCUGAUGUGUGAAACAAAGGAAGGAGGAAUGUUUGAUUUCUCUUAAACUUGGGCGACCCUACAAAAGAGACAGUAGAAACAAGGUCUUUGCUAAUAAACUGAGCAGAAGUGAUGUAAAUACUUCGGAACAUCAGUUUCUAGAUAGUGAUCAAGCAAACUGAACACAGUGGCUGUUUGUUCUUUGAUGUUUGAGGUGGGAAAAGCCAACGUUUGACAUCACGUUGAAAAAAUACUGCCCUGUUUCUUGUCCCUGAUAGCAGGUGGUGCAGGAACUCGAUCUUCAAACCGUUUUGUCACCUUCUAUUCUUCCCAUAAACCAGUUUUUUGUGGCGUUCUGCCUUGAUGUGAUUAAACUACAGCUUCAUUCACUUAUUUUGUUUCCCGUGAAACAGAGCAGCACAAGGAUGGCAGAAAACAGCUGUGUGAGGCUGUAGCGUAGAACUGAUCGUAUCACAGGAUGUCUCAUCUUCCUGAACACGGGUGAAGAUCUGAAUCUCAAGUGUCAUUCAGCACCAACCCUCACCCCGCUUCCAGAAACUUAUAGCAGGUCUAUUUUCUCUAGUACUUCCGUCUCCCGGCAUAUGGCACACAUUUCUUGCUCAGCUCUCCUCCAUCCCCAGCAUUUCUGGCUGCUGUGAGGAUGCCGGGUCUCAGCAGAGCGCGUUGGCUUUGCAGCAGCUGCAAUCCAGUUUUCUGCUCUUGCUCUCUGCUGUACUGAGGGAGAGUGGCAAAGGUGAUGGUCUGGGGACUGCUACUUAGACACCAAGCAGAGGCCAAUAACAAAGAUGCAUUUAUAGUUAUUUUUAUGCAGUGCUGUGGCCGAUACAAAUUUCUGAAGUCUGUACAGUGCUUUUCACCCAGGGUAAUUGAUGUACAGGCUCUGUCAGACCUUUCAAAUCAGCAGUGCCUCGGGCUUGGUGGUGCUGUCUCUUCCCUUUACCCCUAGCUUUUCUCAGUCUCAUGCAGUUCAAUACUUGCAUCUCCCUCAUUUCUGCUGUGCCGUUUGGCUCCAGUUGUGUGUGCUAAAGCCCAGAGGCCAAUCCGUUAUGAAAAUCAGCUAGUAGCAGCAGCAGGCACCAUUAGCUAAAGAGCAGCUUUCUGCCACAGGGAAACAUCCCGAUGUCACACAGUCCUGGAAGGGAGUGGUCAUGCAGCUUCCUCUGAGCCUCUGUUGGCCAUCAGGGAAGGAGACGAUACAAGAUGUGUGCCCUCUUCAUUGCACCUGUCCUGUUGUUUAGGAGAGAGAUCGCUCCCUCUGCAGAUGCCUCUUAAAAAGGACCUCUUCUCAAAAGGCUUUGAAGAUCUCUAAGCUCCUAACAGGCUGCAUUCUUUUAGUAAAAUGAAAGCAGAAUUCCCUAUUGCCUCCCACCCAGAGGAGAUGAAGAGGAGAUGCCCAUGAAGAUGAACUCUGCCUCCUCUUUGGGAGCAUGGUGAAGGACUGCACAGAGCUGGCACUGCUGGGGCACCCCCUGCACUGGACACAGUUGUGAAUUGAGGAUGAAUAUCACUGAUAAAAUGGAGGUCAACAACUGAACGGCAUCUCGUGGAAAAGAUUCGGAGUCUAACUGGGAUUGGCACUUGAGUCAAUAUUACCUGCUUGCUUUGAAGAUGUCCUUCCACUGGAGGAGUUUGGGAGAAGGAAAUGGAAAAGGGUGGUGGAGGUCCUGAGAAAGGGGUCAUGAUGCCAUGAAAAAUCCUCUUCCUCUUGGCAACUGGAUGUCACAUCCUGAGGCUCACUCAGCUCAAAGGUGACCUCAAAACCAAACCUGUCUGAAGGUUUUCGUGGGGCUGGAAUCAGUGGAUGCUGAAGUAGCUCUUAGCUGUGCCAGGAGGCCUCUUAGCGACCAGCACUUAUACAGGCUCACACAUCUCCCACAUCGAAAUCGGCAUUCUUGGAUCCGCUGAGUUUUGAUCCACAGUGAGAUAAGGCCUAAGGGAACUCUCUCUGGAGUGUAUUUCAUUUUGUUCUCUGAAUCAAGGAGGUCAAAUUCUGCUUAGUUCAGUGGAACUGUUCUAGCUAAGGAUCUGCUUUUGUGGCUUGUAAAAUCAGCUGCAAGUGUGUAAUGGGGGUGGCUUGGCUCUCUUCACAAAAGAGACGGAGCCCAAAGCAAGACCUGUGGAUGUGAAGAAAUGGGCUCUGAAAGCGCCUGUCCCGCACGUCCCUGCUGUUUGAGACACGGUGAAGCCUGUGCUGGUGGCAGUCACAAGAAGAGCUGUCUGUGCUCAGGUGGCUUCCAGGGCUGUCUGUGCUCAGGGAAAGGAAACAUCCUCCAUUGUUUCUCCCCUAUAUUUGACUGAAACGAAGCUGCCCGCCUGCACAGCGGUACCCACCUCUGAAUAGUUUGCUAUUCUGGGCCCUGUGCAAUUUGGAGACUGACAACUUACCUUAACUGUUGGAGCACCAACCACUUCACAGAGCUCUCCCAGGCACUGCAGUCCCUGCUUCCUGCAUGGAAAGCAUCACCGAUACCAAGCAGGUGGAGAGGGUGGCCUUUCAUAGGAUCAUAGCCUUCAGGACUCUGGGGUGCCACAACUCCUGUUUGAAACAUAUAAUUGCUGUGGCAUUCAGUGCAACUGACGACAGGGAAGCUCGAACCUGGCAACUGCUACCUUAAAAAGUAAUAGAAGAAGGAAGCAAAAACCCCUGGGGAAGCUAUGCAUACAUAGCAAAGGAGGAGCAAUGGGCUUGCAUUGGUAAACUGCUCCAUAGGGCACCCAUUCAGUGCUAUAAAGAAGGCAUCCAGGCUGUGUGUUUCCCAGCUCCUGCAGCGGUAGGAUGGACCAUGAGUGUGCAUAGGAAGGUGCGUGAAGGCAGGCUAUGCUUUCCUGGGCCAGUUCUCUCCCUCUGAGGCUGCUCCGUGCAGAGCCAGCAGUGUGUGCAGCACUGACCAACGUGGUAUUUGAGAGCUUGAGAUCUCACCGUCUACUUUCUCUUUCCAAUUGCCCUCCCACUGUUGUUCUACAGCAUGCGGUGCCUUCAGCCGUGGUUCAGCUGCCAAAGAAGGUGGGGGAGUGCUGUGCUCCCCAGCUCCAUGCGGACCGGGAGAGAGGCAGAGAAACAGAGGAGGCAGGUGCUAUUCUGCAGCUUAAGGCAGCAACUUCCAAAAUUCUUCGUGAGCCAAUCAGAGCACUGAUGGAGGGAACACCUUCAGCCACUGCACCUUAACAGCCACCUCGAGUGGCCCUGUGCUGGGUUUUUAAUCAU